rnacentral:rRNA from 1 species
CCUACGGGAGGCAGCAGUGAGGAAUAUUGGUCAAUGGCCGGAAGGCUGAACCAGCCAUGCCGCGUGAAGGUCAGUGCCCUUUGGGCGUUAAACUUCUUUUGUGCGGGAGCAAUAAUGGUCACGUGUGGCCAGACGAGAGUACCGUACGAAUAAGCAUCGGCUAACUCCGUGCCAGCAGCCGCGGUAAUACGGGGGAUGCAAGCGUUAUCCGGAUUUAAUGGGUUUAAAGGGUGCGUAGGUUGUGAGGUAAGUCAGCGGUGAAAUGCCCCCGCUCAACGGGGUGAAGUGCCAUUGAUACUGCCUUGCUGGAGUGCGGAUGCGGUAGGAGGAAUGUGUGGUGUAGCGGUGAAAUGCAUAGAUAUCACACAGAACACCGAUUGCGAAGGCAUCUCACGGAUCCGCGAUUGACGCUGAUGCACGAAAGCGUGGGUAGCAAACAGGAUUAGAUACCCUAGUAGUC